rnacentral:rRNA from 1 species
GAUGAACGCUGGCGGCGUGCCUAAUACAUGCAAGUCGAGCGAACAGAUGAGGAGCUUGCUCCUCUGACGUUAGCGGCGGACGGGUGAGUAACACGUGGAUAACCUACCCAUAAGACUGGGAUAACUUCGGGAAACCGGAGCUAAUACCGGAUAAUAUAUUGAACCGCAUGGUUCAAUAGUGAAAGACGGUUUUGCUGUCACUUAUAGAUGGAUCCGCGCCGCAUUAGCUAGUUGGUAAGGUAACGGCUUACCAAGGCAACGAUGCGUAGCCGACCUGAGAGGGUGAUCGGCCACACUGGAACUGAGACACGGUCCAGACUCCUACGGGAGGCAGCAGUAGGGAAUCUUCCGCAAUGGGCGAAAGCCUGACGGAGCAACGCCGCGUGAGUGAUGAAGGUCUUCGGAUCGUAAAACUCUGUUAUUAGGGAAGAACAAAUGUGUAAGUAACUAUGCACGUCUUGACGGCACCUAAUCAGAAAGCCACGGCUAACUACGUG